AUUGAACGCUGGCGGCAGGCCUAACACAUGCAAGUCGAACGAGUGGCGGACGGGUGAGUAAUGUCUGGGAAACUGCCUGAUGGAGGGGGAUAACUACUGGACACGGUAGCUAAUACCGCAUACCAUCGGGUGUGCCCAGAUGGGAUUAGCUAGUAGGUGGGGUAAAGGCUCACCUAGGCGACGAUCCCUAGCUGGUCUGAGAGGAUGCCCAGCCACACUGGAACGGAGACACGGUGCAGAUUCCUACGGAGGGCAGCAGUGGGGAAGAUUGGACAAUGGGUGCAAGACUGAUGCAGCCAGCCCGCGUGUAGGAAGAAGGCCUUCGGGUUGGAAAGUACUUUCAGCGGGGAGGCGUUACCCGCAGAAGAAGCACCGGCUAACGCCGUGCCAGCAGCCGCGGUAAUAC
rnacentral:rRNA from 1 species